GCAAACAUAGUUUAAUUCAAACAUUAGAUUGUGAUUCUAAAAAUAGGAGCUCAAACCUUCUUGUUCGCC
rnacentral:tRNA from 4 species